CCCAGUCCUACUACACGGUGGCUCACGCCAUCUCCGAGAGGGUGGAGAAGCAGUCUGCCCUCCUCAUUAAUGGCACCCUGAAGCACUACCAGGUAAGUGGUGUGUUUGUGUCCCCGUGGCAAGCCUUGGCCUUGCAUACGCAUCAUCCCCAAGCGUGUACGCCCCACUUGAGGAGCCUUAGUCAACUUAGGUGAUGUCAAAGUUGGGGGAUACAUUUCAGGUUAAGUGCCCUCCCCGUAGGGGUGCAGGGUGCAGGUGGCUUCCUUCAAGAGUAGCUGUGCUCAC
rnacentral:lncRNA from 1 species